ensembl:lncRNA
GUGCGUGUGUGUGUGUGUGUGUGUGUCUAAGUGUUUAUGACUGUGUGUGUGUGUCUGUGUGUGUGUUUGUGUGUGUCUGUGUGUGUGUGUGUGUGCGCUUGUCUGAUCAUGUGUGUGUGUAAUUACACCCGCUCCUCCUCCUGUCUCAGUCAUAGGCUCUGAGUGGUGCUGAUGGAUGGUCAUUACUCAGCCUGUGCCUGUGCGCGUGUGUGUGUCUGUCUGUCGGUGUGUGUGUGUGUGUGUGUGUGUGUUUCUUUGUGUGUGUGUGUGAUUACUUAGCCUCUAUGAUGGGCUGAGGUUCAGGGAUUAAACAUUCUUUUUACAUGCUGAUUGUCUAAGAGCUCUGUGUGUGUGUGUGUGUGUGUGUGUGUGUGUGUGUACGUGUGUGUGUGUGUUUAGCACUUAGAUAACGUAUUAACUGAGGUCAAACGGCAAAAUUCAAGGAGCUAACGGAUCCUAUGAAAGGCUUCCUCUCUCCAAGACACCUCAAGACACCGCACACCUCACACACACUUGGAACAAUUAUUUCAUUCUUCACCUGUCUAUUUGUCGUUCACACUCACUUCCGGGUUCACACACAAGCCGUUGCUAGGGAACACCCAGCAGCAGCACAAGGUCUCACCACAGGUCUCACCACAGGUCUCUGGGUUUAAGUAAGGAAUGAAAGCUGCCUACCCAGGGACCCUAACCUGGUGCGCAGAUGUAAACAUGGCGGUAGGAGUGUACAAAGCUAGUCCGGGGAUGAGAGACCAGAGGGAAUGCUAGCUUCAAGCCCCCACGGCCGACCGGCUUUAUGUGACUCAAUGUAAUUCAAAAGAAAGGAGAAGGUAGACAAGCGAAGGCAAGCGGUCCCUGACGUCAUAGGUCAUUCCAAAGAGUCCUUGACUAGGUAAAGUACGGGCACAAAAGGUGACAGUCACUCACCUAGCCGUAGGAUUCAUGAGACGGCUGGCAAAAACCCUCCGGUGUCUGUCCUCUGAUUCUAGUAAAGAUUAUGUAUGUCCUGUCUUUAGGCGGCGGUCACCAUACAGGACAGCUGUUUCGAGAUCCAGAGGCUCCUCCUCUCCUGCAGUCCCCGACCCUCUCCGGUGGGCCCCUGCCACCCCCGGCAGGGCUCGUCCUCGUCCUCGGCCUCAUCGUCAGGGUGUCUCCGCGGUAACGCUCUGCAGGAGCAGGAGCGCCAGCGGGAGGCGGAGCGUCGUCGGGAGGAGCUGGCGGGUGUGGCCCGUCUCCAGACGCUGCUCACCCAGGAGAGGCAGCAGUGGGAGCGGGAGCGCAGCGCCCGACAUCUCCAGCAGGAGGCGCAGGAGAGCCGGCUGGAGCUGCGCGAACAACAGUGCCACCUGGAGGCCGAGAGGCUGCAGCGGGAGCGCAGGGAGCUGGACGAGCAGCUGCAGGACUACCAGCACAGCCUGGAGAGGCUCAGAGAGGGACAGCGCAGCCUGGAGAGGGAGAGGACCCGAGUGGACACCCAGACUAGCCUGGUCCAGAGCUGGAGGCACAGCAGGCAGAGGAGCCUCCCAGGCAUGGUCAUACCACUGGACACCAUACAGGACACAGAUCUCCCUCUUCCUGAAGGCUCUGUGUUUGUGAACGAGGCGGCUUACCACACGUCCUCCCUCAACAACCGCCACCCUCAUCACCAUCGCCAUCAUCCUCACCACCAGCAGCAGCUUCCUCACGCCGUCCAGCCCAACCUGAACCUGCCCGCCCGCACCGGACCCCGGGGGCAACCGGACCCCCUCUCACACACCCACAACAGCAUCAACUUCCUGCUGGACCGCUCUGCUCAGCCCGGUGACCCGACGCCGGCCAGAACCACAGCAGGCCAGCCAGCAGAACAACCCAGCCACGAGCUGAACAUGUCCAGCAUCGUCAGGGAGAGAUGGUCGCCGGGGACGACCUUUCCGAGUUACUCACCCCCCUUCCUGUUGGACUCAUACAUCACCAUGGAAACAGAAGGGGGGGAGGAUGGGGUGGAGGAGAAUAUCGUGUAUCUCUGACAUCACAACAAGAAUCGCAGCAAGAUCACCGCAAGGAUGGAAAUACCCAGACAGUGGCAACUCUUGAAUACACCUACCAGAUCCCCAGCCGGACCAGGGCCUUAUCUGGGCCACAUCCAUCCAGUUAGCAGUUAUCAGUUUAAAAGAAAAAUGGAACAAUGGACUUAUUUCUUUAACAGAGUGCACUGCUUUAGACUUUAGACUACUCUGAACUGUUGUUCCCUGCACAGGUGUAGAAUCUGAGUGUGGAGUCAGAAUGUGGAGUCGUGGUGUGGAAUGUCUGAAGGCAGAUUCUAAUGGAAGAAGCCUAGCUUCUGCACCACUGUCAGCCGGUUUUAUGAGCCAUUAAAGUAGAGCAGAGCCAGUGGGAUCCCCACACACUGGGUCACUAAUGGCUGGGCUUUAAAGGCAGAGUACGCCAUCCUGGCGAAAGGAUGUUGGUGUUUUAACUCAACACUCAAUCAGAUUUUACCCCUCCCUUCCGUGUGCCUGAAGCAAAAUGUUUAAUGGCUAGAAUUGUUUAUGGUUCGGUCCGAGUCUCCAUGUUUCCCAUUUACAGUGCCAGUGGACCGUGUACAAACAACAAGUUUUUUUUCUUUCUUUAGCACACACACUAAACGGACAACUAGAUGACCGUGAAUUUGACAGAAAGUAUAUUGGACCUCACCUUUAAUGAGGAACAUGCCAGAGGGACUGAGAGGAGCAGAGGGGACAACAUUAGCAUGUUAGCACAGGUCUGAGUCACAGGCCACAUAAACACAGCCACCCAACAAUUGUUUUAUGUAGGAGCAGUAAAGUUUAUGGUGUGUGGUGUGUGAUUAUGUGUGUCGAGCCUGCUGACAUAAAGAGAGAGCGAGGGAGUUAAUGAGAGGGAGAGGCGGAGGAAGAGAGAGAGGGAGGCAUGGAUGAAAGAUGGGGGAGAGAGAGAGGAGUGGCAUGCCAUUGUUUAAUCUGAGUGGGAAUGAAGACAGACAUUACUGAGAGGAUAAAAGGAAGCAAGCUUUGAUGAGUUCCACGCUGAAAUUUUGUUUAAUCUUCAGCCACAUCUGCCUUAAAUUCAAAGUGUGUGUGUGUGUGUGUGUGUGUGUGUGUGUGUGUGUGUGUGUGUGUGUGUGUGUGUGUGUGUGUGUGUGUGUGUGUGUGAGUGAGUGUGUGUCAAGAUUACAUAAAUGGAGCAACCUGAUUCUGUCACUUCGGUCCGCAAGCACCAAAGGCACAUGGUCCACCCUUGAGCAGAGCCCCAGACACACACACACACACACACACACACACACACACACCAACCAUCUGACCCUCGCUGUCAGUGAUUGGUGGUGGGGUGGAGUAUCUAUUAAAACCUUCUCCCUGCUCAUUAAGGCCAGGAAGCUCACACAGGAAACUCAGACAGUCUGUCAGCAAAGAGUAUGUUGAAUGGAGGAACCCACUGUUUUGUUUGCCUAAUUUCACUUUAAAUUGACUUCCUCGCUGACUUUCACAGUGUUGGGUGAAUCCCUAAGAGCGCUGAAGUGAUUGACAGAUCCAGGUUAACUACCAAAUAUAUGCAGCAUCUUAGAUGAAACAAACAUCCAGCUCCAAGGCCCGUGUCCAUAGUAACCGGUGCUCAAGGCCUAUCUCCCAGAACCCAGAACCCACGCUAGUCACGAAGCACAUGGGUCAACACUGGCGUCCUCUCUGCUGUGACUGUGUCUGUCAAAAGCCCUCUCUGAUGGCUCUGUUCACCGAGGAAGACUCAAUCUUCAGUUUGUUUUUUCUUUACACCCUUUUGUUUUGUUUUUGUGUUUUCUUUUUUGACAUGUGUCACCGUGGAAACCCUGGCAUGUUCUGUCUGAUCCGAUGUUGAUUAGCAUGCGCAAACACACAUACACACUCACACACACACACACGCACACACACUCGAGUCAUGAAUUUUUAACAAGGCCGUGUCAAAAAUAGAAAGCGCCGCCGUUCCCCCGAGCGAGACGACACCGCCGCUACUCUGCGUCGUUCCCCUCGACUCGAGAACUGGGGGGGCCUCUGUUUCCAUGCCAGAUUAUUCAUCUGGAGGCUCCUUAACGAUCCGGUCGGAUACGUGUCCCUGGGCCACCGAUCCGACUGCGGGCACGCCAGGGCACACUUCUCCCCGCGCCACCGCUGCUCGCCGGCGUAAUUGGCACGCCGGUUUGGAGCGGCAGCGGUAAUAGCAGAGGCACACCGUGUCACAUUCAUAUUCCCAACUUGUACAAAAUGGGCGGCACAUUUGCAUAGACAGAUCGUUCAGAUAAGGCCAAAACAGCACUGGAAUAAAUGUCACACCAAUUACUGCA